ensembl:lncRNA
AUACAGACAGGCAACAGACAGGUAUAAUACAGACAGGUUUAAUAAAGACAGGUAUAAUACAGACAGGUUUAAUAAAGACAGGUAUAGUACAGACAGGUAUAAAUAUAGACAGGCAACAGACAGGUAUAAUACAGACAGGUAUAAUACAGACAGGCAACAGACAGGUAUAAAUACAGACAUGUAUAAAUACAGACAGGUAUAAAUACAGACAGGCAACAGACAGGUUUAAUACAGACAGAUAUAAUACAGACAGGUAUAAAUACAGACAUGUAACAGACAGGUAUAAUACAGACAAGUAUAAUACAGACAGGUAUAAUACAGACAGGCAACAGACAGGUAUAAUACAGACAGGCAACAGACAGGUAUAAAUACAGACAGGUAUAAAUACAGACAGGUUUAAUAAAGACAGGCAACAGACAGGUAUAGUACAGACAGGUAUAAAUACAGACAGGCAACAGACAGGUAUAAUACAGACAGGCAACAGACAGGUAUAAAUACAGACAGGUAUAAUACAGACAUGUAUAAAUACAGACAGGUAUAAAUACAGACAGGUAUAAAUAUAGACAGGCAACUAACAGCUAUAAUACAGACAGGUUUAAUAAAGACAGAUAUAAUACAGACAGGUAUAAAUACAGACAGGUAUAAUACAGACAGGUAUAAUAAAGACAGGUAUAAUACAGACAUGUAACAGACAGGUAGAAUACAGACAAGUAUAAUACAGACAGGUAUAAUACAGACAGGCAACAGACAGGUAUAAUACAGACAGGUAUAAUACAGACAGGUAUAAUACAGACAGGUUACAGACAGGUAUAAUACAGACAGGUUACAGACAGGUAUAAUACAGACAGGUUUAAUACAGACAUGUAUAAUAAAGACAUGUAACAGACAGGUAUAAUACAGACAAGUAUAAUACAGACAGGUAUAAUACAGACAGGCAACAGACAGGUAUAAUACAGACAGGCAACAGACAGGUAUAAUACAGACAGGUUUAAUACAGAGAGGUAUAAUACAGACAGGUAUAAAUACAGACAGGCAACAGGCAGGUAUAAUACCGACAGGCAACAGACAGGUAUAAUACAGACAGGUAUAAUACAGACAGGUAUAAUACAGACAGGUAUAAAUACAGACAGAUAUAAUACAGACAGGUAUAAAUACAGACAGGUUUAAUACAUACAGGUAUAAUACAGACAGGUAUAAUACAGACAGAUUUAAUACAGACAGGCAACAGACAGGUAUAGUACAGACAGGUAUAAAUACAGACAGGCAACAGACAGGCAACAGACAGGUAUAAAUACAGACAGGUAUAAAUACAGACAUGUAUAAAUACAGACAGGUAUAAAUACAGACAGAUAUAAUACAGACAGGUAUAAAUACAGACAGGUAUAAAUACAGACAGGUAUAAUAAGGACAGGUUUAAUACAGACAUGUAAAAUAAAGACAGGUAUAAAUACAGACAGGUAUAAAUACAGACAGGUAUAAUAAGGACAGGUUUAAUACAGACAUGUAAAAUAAAGACAGGUAUAAAUACAGACAGGUAUAAUACAGACAGGCAACAGACAGGUUUAAUACAGACAGGUAUAAAUACAGACAGGUAUAAUACAGACAUGUUACAGACAGGUAUAAUACAGACAAGUAUAAUACAGACAGGUAUAAUACAGACAGGCAACAGACGGGUAUAAAUACACAGGGGAUAAUGAAGGAAGAUGGGAGACACCUGGUGGGUGGGGGGGGUAGGAGACAAGCACAAAGACAGGUGAAACAGAGCAGGAUGUGAUUUUGCAUUUUACAUUCUUAUCAGGAAAUUUUUGAAAGUAUGGAGAUCGGGAUAAGAAGAUAAGAAGAUAAGGGUGGAAGAUCUUCAUACUUAUCUCCCCAUUUCAAGCCUUCCUUUUGACUGGUACUGUACAUUUCUCAGACAAAGAAAAAAGCAUAAAGUUGUACAUUUACCAAGGAUUCAAGAAUAUUGACUAGCUUCUUUAGCUUAUUGAUCGAAAUUUCGGAUGACUGACGUGCCCAAAGUAAACUGCCUGUUACUCAGGCCCAGAAGCCAGGAUAUGCAUAUAAUGGGUAGCAUUGGAUAGAAAACACUCUGAGUUUUCUAAAACUGUUAAAAUAAUGUCUGUGAGUAUAACAGAACUUAUAUGGCAGGCGAAAACCCGAUGACAUUUUUGUUUUGAGGUCACAGCCAUUUCAAUGCUAGCCUACGGGAUAUACCAAAUAUUUCCUCCCAGAUUGCAGUUUCUCUGGCUUCCACUAGAUGUCAACCGUCUUUAUAAAGGGUUUCCAGCUUGUUUUGAGAAAUGAGCAAGGAGCUGUAGUUUUUCCAAGGUGUCUCUCAUUAGAAAAGUAGUCUUGUUGGCGCGGGAAUGAGGUGCUGCUCUUCGUUAUUUAUCUUCCCUAUUGAACAUAUUAUUCUCUGUCUUAAAUAUUAUUGUUUAUUUAGAUAUUAGAGUAGCUGAGGAUGAAUUAGAAACAUCGUUUGACUUGUUUGGACGAACUUUUACCGGUAACUUUUUGGAUUCGUUUGUAUGCAUGUUGAACAAGUGGAUUACAACUAAACAGACUUUUUUGGAUAUAAAGAAGGACUUUAUCGAACAAAACUAGCAUUCAUUGUGUAACUGGGACCCUUGGGAUUAGCAAACAGAGGAAGAUCUUCAAAAGUAGGUGAUUUAUUUAAUCACUAUUUGUGAUUUUGUGACGCCUGUACUGGUUGAAAAAGUAUUUUGAUGUGGGGCGCUGUCCUCAGAUAAUCGCAUGGUAUGCUUUCGCCGUAAAGCCUUUUUGAAAUCUGACAACGCAGUUGGAUUAACAAGAAGGUAAGCUUUUAAAUGAUGUUUGACACUUGUAUUUUCAUGAAUGUUUAAUAUUACGAGUUUUGUAUUUUCAAUUUUGCGCUCUGCAAUUUCACCCGAUGUUGUCAUGGUUGUCCCGCUAGUGGCAAGACAAGUAUACUUAUCACCUCUAGCUAAGAUUCUUGAAUCCUUGGAAAAUGUACUACUUUGUCCUUUUUUUUAUCUGAGAAAUGUACAGUACCAGUCAAAAGUUUGGACACACCUACUCAUUCAAGGGUUUCUCCAUGUUUUUACUAUUUUCUGCAUUGUAGAAUAAUACCGAAGACAUCAAAACUAUGAAGUAACACACGUGGAAUCAUGUAGUAACCAAAAAAAGUCUUCAAAGUAGCCACCCUUUGGCAUUAUCUCAACCAGAUUCACCUGGAAUGUUUUUCCAACAGUCUUGAAGGAUUUCCCACAUAUGCUGAUUUCCUGCUGUCCAACUCAUCCAAAACCAUCUCAAUUGGGUUGAGGUCGGGUGAUUAUGGAAGCCAGGUCGUCUGAUGCAGCACUCCAUUACUCUCCUUCUUGGUCAAAUAGCCCUUACACAGACUGGAGGUGUGUUUUAGUCAUAUUCCUGUUGAAAAAAAAAUGAUAGUCCCUCUAAGCGCAAACCAGGUGGGAUGGCGUAUCGCUGCAGGAUGCUGUGGUAGCCAUGCUGGUUAAGUGUGCCUUGAGUUCUAAAUAAAUCACUGACAGUGUCACCAGCAAAGCACCCCAUCAACAUUACACCUCCUCCUCCAUGCUUCACAGUGGAAACCACACGUGCAGAGAUCAUCCUUUCACCUACUCUGUGUUUCACAAAGACACAGUGGUUGGAACCAAAAAUCUUACAUUUGGACAUAUCAGAUUUCCACCAGUUUAAUGUCCAUUGCUCGUGUUUUUUGGACCAAGCAAGUCUCUUCUUAUCAUUGGUGUCCUUUAGUGGUGGUUUCUUUGCAGCAAUUUGACGAAGAAGGCCUGAUUCACGUAGUCUCCUCUGAACAGUUGAUGUAGAGAUGUGUCUGUUACUUGAAACUCUGUGAAGCAUUAUUUGGGCUGCAACUUCUGAGGCUGGUAACUCUGGGUCUUCCUUUCCUGUUGUGGUCCUUAUGAGAGGCAGCUUUUGAUCACGCUAUUUUAUUGAAUAAUAAUCCUCGAUAUGCAUGAGCUCUGAAGCCUGUUCAUGGUUUCAUGAUUAUCUUAUUGACAGAACUCAAGACACCAUCUUCUUGGGCAUGACGCUACAAGCUUGGCACAUCUGUAUUUGGGGAGUUUCUCCCAUUCUUCUCUGCAGAUCCUCACAAGCUCUGUCAGGUUGGAUGGGAAGCAUCGCUGAACAGCUAUUUUCAGGUCUCUCCAGAGAUGUUUGAUCGGGAUCAAGUCCAGGCUCUGGCUUGGCCCCUCAAGGACAUCCAGAGACUUGUCCCGAAGACGCUCCUGUGUUUUCUUGGCAGUGUGCUUAGGGCAAAAAAAACAAUUUUAUUCUCCUUUGCAAUAACAUCGAGGGUCUUAUUCUAGUGGCAUGAUCAUUGAUGCUUGGCUGACGUUUGACAAAUAAGAUCAUCUCUCUCUUUUGUCCAUAAUAAUCUCAUCACGUUAUAUUCACACUGUAUCUGUGAGCUGUUGGCUAGAGCGUGCGUGUCAAGACCAGUGGAC